rnacentral:tRNA from 1 species
UCCCUGGUGGUCUAGUGGUUAGGACUCGGCCUUUUCACUGCUGCAGCCCAGGUACAAUCCCUGGUCUGAGAA